GAAUCUGUCCGUUGGUCGGGCUUUAUUGUCCGUACUGAUGUGAUAGGUUCUUACCUUCUGAAUAACCAGCAUGUCAUUAAUUUGGUGUGUUGGGGAAGCAGGACUAUUACCUUGAAAAAAUUAGAGUGCUCAAAGCAGGCUAGUGCCUGAAUACAUUAGCAUGGAAUAAUAAAAUAGGACGGCAUGGUUCUAUUUUGUUGGUUUCUAGGAUCACCGUA
rnacentral:rRNA from 1 species